rnacentral:rRNA from 1 species
GAUGAACGCUGGCGGCGUGCUUAAUACAUGCAAGUCGAACGGACAGGCCUCUUUCGGGGGGUACUCGAGUGGCGAACGGGCGAGUAACACGCGAGUAACUUGCCCUCGUCUUUGGGAUAACUUCAGUAAACAGGGGCUAAUACCGGACAGGAGCUCUUGUUGCACGGAGGGGGUUGGAAAGUUUCGGCGGUUGGGGAUGGGCUCGCGGCGUAUCAGCUUGUCGUUGGGGUAGUGGUUUACCAAGGGCUUGACGGGUCGCCGGACUGUGGGAGUGAGAGGCCACACUGAGACUGAGGUGAGGCACAGGCACCGACGGGUGGGAGCAGUGGGGAAUAUUGCACGAGGGGUGGAGGCCUGAUGCAGCAGCGCCGUGUACGGGAUGACGGCCUUCGGGUUGAAGACCGCUUUCGCUCAUAACGAAGCUUUGUGUGACGGUAGUGGGUAAAGAAGCACCGGCUAACUACGUG